rnacentral:sRNA from 1 species
GCAAGAUGGCGAUUCCGGGCAGGCAGUAUGGGCUUAUUUUGCCAAAGAAAACACAGCAGUUGCACCCUGUUUUGCAAAAACCAUCAGUGUUUGGGAAUGAUUCUGAUGAUGAUGAUGAGAUGAAGUCUUGCUCUGUCGCCCAGGCUGGAGAGCAGUGGCGCAAUCUCAGCUUACUGCAACCUCUACCUCCCGGGUUCAAGCAGUUCUCCUGUCUCAGCCUCCUGAGUAGCUGGGAUCACAGGCAGGCACCACCACGCCUGGCUAAUUUUUGUAUUUUUAGUAGAGAUGGGGUUUCACCAUGUUGGUCAGGCUGGUCUUGAACUCCUGACCUUGUGAUCUGCCUGCCUUGGCCUCCCAAAGUGCUGGGAUUACAGGUGUGAGCCAUCGCGCCUGACCAAUAUGUGGUUGUUUUUUUUUUGAGACGGAGUCUCGCUCUGUCGCCCAGGCUGGAGUGCAGUGGCGCAAUCUCGGCUCACUGCAAGCUCCGCCUCCUGGGUUCACACCAUUCUCCUGCCUCAGCCUCCCAAGUAGCUGGGACUACAGGCGUCCGCCAUCACGCCCGGCUAAUUUUUUGUAUUUUUAGUAGAGACGGGGUUUCACCGUGGUCUCGAUCUCCUGACCUCGUGAUCGACCCGCCUCGGCCUCCCAAAGUGCUGGGAUUACAGGCGUGAGCCACCGCGCCCG